rnacentral:rRNA from 1 species
AUUGAACGCUGGCGGCAGGCCUAACACAUGCAAGUCGAUCGGAGCGGCGGACGGGUGAGUAAUGCCUAGGAAUCUGCCUGGUCGUGGGGGCUAACGUCCGGAAACGGGCGCUAAUACCGCAUCCUAUCAGCUGAGCCUAGGUCGGAUUAGCUCGUUGGUGGGGUAAAGGCCUACCAAGGCGACGAGCCGUAACUGGUCUGAGAGGAUGAUCAGUCAAAAAGGAACUGAGACACGGUCCAGAGUGCUACGGGAGGCAGCAGUGGGGAAUAUUGGACAAUGGGCGAAAGCCUGAUCCAGCCAUGCCGCGUGUGUGAAGAAGGUCUUCGGAUUGUAAAGCACUUUAAGUUGGGAGGCGUUACCAACAGAAUAAGCAACGGCUAACUGCGUGCCAGCAGCCGCGGUAAUAC